UAUAUAUAUAUAUAUAUAUAUAUAUAUAUAUAUAUAUAUAUAUAUAUAUUAUAAGUUUUCUUCUUGUUAUUGUUUUUAUCUUGUUAUUGUGGAAGUUAUGUUUAUUUUGGGUAAUUAUUUAGAAGACGGAUCUCACCUUCGAUUUCGCUGAAACUCACCUAUCUUAUGUAUUUCGAUGCGUAGAAAAAUCUGAAAGUUAAAAUCGUCGCUCUACAAACCGAGAAAUUAAUUGUUAAAGAUGCUAGGUAUGAUAGGUUAGAAAACCUGUCAUUGCAACGUAAAGUUUGUUCGUAGAGUUGCCUUUUCUGUAUUGGUACAGUAAGUACUGCAAUAUCGAACGACAAGCGGGGGGCUGCUCUCGCACCUCCUAAAAACUAAUCUAACCCAACCUAUCGUCACAUUACCCGUCAGUCAUUGUUUAUUAGUGUUCAACUUUUUUUCUUAAUAAUUUUUUAAUAAACAAUGAUUGAGGCUAAUGUGACGAUAGGUUAGGUUAGGUUAGUUUUUAGGGAGAGUGUGGGGGGCGCAGCCCCCACUCGUCGUUCGAUAUUUUUCGCGUGUUACAAAUGAUAAAAAUGUUAAAAAUAUUCUUAAUUUAAAUAUUUUUAUUAAGUGGAUAUAGGCAAAUAUUUUACACAGAUUCAAUAAGGAAAAAUUAGUAGAUUUUAUAAUGCAACAUAGUGUUUUGGCAAUAAACGUUAUAAUAUUAGUAUUAAUGUAGUAAAAACAUUAAUGUUUCAAUAUAUAACAAUGUAACGGCAGGUUGGGUUGGGUUAGUUUUGGGUUUUUUUUAGGGCGCAGCCCCCCACUCGUCAUUCGAUAUUGCAGUACUUGUUUUAUCAGACUUUAUAUAAACAUACUAGCAUCUUUAAUAAUUAAUUUCUCGGUUUGUAGAGCCAAGCGCCGAACUUUCAGAUUCGGCUUCUACGCAUCGAAAUACAUAAGAUAGGUGAGUUUCAACGAAAUUGAAGGUGAGGCCCGUCUUCUAAAUAAUUACCUUUAUUUUGAUUUUAGUUACAUGUUACAAUGUAUUUAUUAAAUAUACACAUGUAUUUAUUAAAUAUACACAUUUAUUAAAUAUUUAUUACUUCACAUACGUGACGUGCAAACAUAUGUCCGACGACACGCUUAUGUCAAAACGUCACACGUAUAUAAGCUACAUAUAUACUUACGUCAAGGUUUCGGCUAACCAACAUAUAUUACUACUUAUUCAGUUUUACUAAUCCACAGAAAUUUAAUUUGAGCUAUCUAGGGGUUUUCGCUGGUACCAACGGUAUUCCCUCCCUUUUUAUGGAUUUUGUCGUGUAAUUUCUUCUUCUGGAACACCAGUUUCAGGCAUGCGCAGAUGCUUUUUUCCCGUAUGUAAUACAUACUGUUCGGGGUCAAUUUUACAUAGUACUGCGUUCGGGGAGACGCUAUUUACUGUUAUGAGUGUGUUCUGUCCUUGUUUGUUCCCGAAAGUUGAACAAGGACAAAGAACCUAGCUGUAACGUCCGGACUUAUUUUGAAACAUUAAUAAUAUAUUAAUAUAGAUCGGAGGCCGACUUGUUUGAUUUCAGACAUUACUAGAUAUUUUAUACCUAUGUUACUAGACAGAGUCUUAAAAUCGAUGGAUCAACUGUAGACAAGAGAAACCGUAAUCGCUCAAUGCGAUAAGGCGUUCCGCUGCUAACAUAAACAGGAGCAUGAAAACUGAAUCCAAACACCACUCAGGACCGGCGAUAUCGACGCGGUGACAUCGUACCGAUGGAAUGAAUCUCUUCCAUCUCCACGACUCCAUCAGCCAAUCAGCAAACGACUCUUAGCGACAAAGCGACAUAUAAAAACGCGCGCAUUUGUUGAGAAGGCGAUUAUUUCUUCUCAUAAUUAGUCUCUGGUCAUUCUCGUGUACUUAUUUGGAAUAUAUUAGUCGUUAAAUCCGA